CACACACACGGUCGGAGAAACCACUCCUCAAACUCCUGAAGGGAAGAGGAGGAGAACGAGAGGAGUCUGUGAACGCUCACGUCUGAUGGGAGUCACACACACAACCGAGGGACGACGAAAGAGACGAGAGGAGACGCGGCUUGAGGAGUGGUUCAGCUGAUUCACAUCUGAUGAUUUCAUGACGGUAUAAAAGAGCAUGUUUAGGAGCGAUUCUCCUAGCCGAAUGCCAUUCCCAUUGCACAUGAAGAUCAAGUGUCCGCUUAUGAAAACCACAUGAGAGGAUCAGACUCUUCAAAGAUGUCAGUAAAUCUGCAGCCGUCCGUCACGAACCCUGGACAAACCUCAAACGGCCAGAAAACGACGGGAAGAUUCACCUGAAUCUACGUGACUGUGAUCGUAUACUGAGUGUGUGUUUGUGAAGGUCUUUUGCAGGAACGAGCGCUAGACGUCAGACCGCAGAUGCUCAACUGGACCACAGCUGGUCAGAUCUGCGCCUCUGAAACCUCAAUAAAUCAGCAAACGCAUAAACAGACGAGGAGGAUGCGGUUAAACUCUGGGUAAACUGGAAACACACUGUAUACGUGUCUGUCUCAACUGUUUCCUCAGCGAGAGAUGAUCAGGAUUAUCAGUAUUAUCAGUAUUUCCAAACAAAUGUGUCAUGAAAGUUCAUUCAGUAGAGGAUUUUUUUUGAGGGAAAAUGUCACAAUCAACUUGGUAAAAUAGCUUGAUCCUUAAAAAAAAAUUAUAUAUAAUUAAAUUAAAUACUGUGAAAUUUUAUAUAAUAUAUUUUUUAUGUAUAUAUGACAUAUAUUUUAAUGAAAUAUCUAAUUUAUU